GGGAUUGUUGUGUAAGGGAACUUGUUUCAGCCAAGGCAGAACUUGUUUCAGAAAUUUUCUCCUCCUUUCAACUGCUACACCGCAAUAAGGGAGGAAAGUCUUGGUCUUCAGUGACAAAGACCAUUGAAAUCAAAGAGAACUCAAGCACGAAAUGGGGAUGGCUUCAAGGAACACCCGAUCAUGAACCACGCCUAGCUGACGCACCCAUUUCAAGGCACCUCCUGUCGUCGGCAACAAAUAGUUUUUCAGCUUUGAACAGUUCCGGCGCUGAGAUUCACAAGUAUUUAAAACCCAUAUCGAUUUCUUUUUAAAAAAUAUUUAAGUCAUAAUUUUUUAUUUAUUGAUUAUAUGUUCUGGUUUUGUUUAGUAACAUCUGAAAUUUGUAUGAACUGUAAUUUUUGUUAAGAGGAUUUUUUUUUAAUGAGACUUUUGUAAGAAGUUGUUUGGUGGUAAGAGUGUUGUUUUUGGUUAGCUUGUUUCAGGUGUGUAGCUUGCGUUUCAACUUUCGAGGAGGAGGAGGGCUAGGAGAAAAGAGUGAAGGCUCAGUGAUUUCAGGUAAAGAGAGAGAGUCAGAGAGAAAAACCUUGAGGGAGCACCGGAGCAGGGAGGCCUGAAGGUUGAGGCUGAGGCAGUGACCGUCACUGACGAGCGAUCUCCGAUGACGACGAUGUGCUCUGGACUGCGACUGGAGCGAGGGAGGCGUUGCUCUGUUUUUAGGUCAGGUGUUGCCGGGAACACCACACCCUGAGCAUAACGUGGCACCACCACUGCUUGCAGCAAGCAGGUACACCUUGAAGAUGAAGAUGAAGUAGUUGGGCCACAGUCUCUUGUAAUCCAAGAGGGUUCAGAUGGCAUUUCCCUUAAGCCAUUUUCUGACACUGAUAAAGCGCCACCAGA